GAGUUUGAUCAUGGCUCAGGAUGAACGCUGACAGAAUGCUUAACACAUGCAAGUCUACUUGAUCCUUCGGGUGAAGGUGGCGGACGGGUGAGUAACGCGUAAAGAACUUGCCUUACAGACUGGGACAACAUUUGGAAACGAAUGCUAAUACCGGAUAUUAUGAUUGGGUCGCAUGAUCUGGUUAUGAAAGCUAUAUGCGCUGUGAGAGAGCUUUGCGUCCCAUUAGUUAGUUGGUGAGGUAACGGCUCACCAAGACGAUGAUGGGUAGCCGGCCUGAGAGGGUGGACGGCCACAAGGGGACUGAGACACGGCCCUUACUCCUACGGGAGGCAGCAGUGGGGAAUAUUGGACAAUGGACCAAAAGUCUGAUCCAGCAAUUCUGUGUGCACGAUGAAGUUUUUCGGAAUGUAAAGUGCUUUCAGUUGGGAAGAAGUCAGUGACGGUACCAACAGAAGAAGCGACGGCUAAAUACGUGCCAGCAGCCGCGGUAAUACGUAUGUCGCAAGCGUUAUCCGGAUUUAUUGGGCGUAAAGCGCGUCUAGGCGGCUUAGUAAGUCUGAUGUGAAAAUGCGGGGCUCAACCCCGUAUUGCGUUGGAAACUGCUAAACUAGAGUACUGGAGAGGUAGGCGGAACUACAAGUGUAGAGGUGAAAUUCGUAGAUAUUUGUAGGAAUGCCGAUGGGGAAGCCAGCCUACUGGACAGAUACUGACGCUAAAGCGCGAAAGCGUGGGUAGCAAACAGGAUUAGAUACCCUGGUAGUCCACGCCGUAAACGAUGAUUACUAGGUGUUGGGGGUCGAACCUCAGCGCCCAAGCUAACGCGAUAAGUAAUCCGCCUGGGGAGUACGUACGCAAGUAUGAAACUCAAAGGAAUUGACGGGGACCCGC
rnacentral:rRNA from 1 species